rnacentral:rRNA from 1 species
UACAGAGGGUGCGAGCGUUAAUCGGAGUUACUGGGCGUAAAGGGCGCGUAGGCGGAUUAUUAAGUUAGAUGUGAAAUCCCUGGGCUUAACCUAGGAAUGGUGUCUGAUACUGGUAGUCUAGAAUACUAAAGAGGGUAGUGGAAUUUCCGGUGUAGCGGUGAAAUGCGUAGAGAUCGGAAGGAACAUCAGUGGCGAAGGCGGCUACCUGGUUAGAUAUUGACGCUGAGGCGCGAGAGCGUGGGGAGCAAACAGG